CCUACGGGGGGCAGCAGUGAGGAAUAUUGGUCAAUGGGCGAGAGCCUGAACCAGCCAAGUCGCGUGAGGGAGUACUGCCCUAUGGGUUGUAAACCUCUUUUGUCGGGGAGCAAAAGCCGGACGUGUCCGGCUGUGAGAGUACCCGAAGAAAAAGCAUCGGCUAACUCCGUGCCAGCAGCCGCGGUAAUACGGAGGAUGCGAGCGUUAUCCGGAUGUAUUGGGGUAAAAGGGUGCGCAGGAGGAUUUUUAAGUCAGCGGUCAAAUCGUGGGGCUAAACCCCAUCCAGCCGUUGAAACUGGGGAUCUAGAGUGUGCGAGAGGUAUGCGGAAUGCGUGGUGUAGCGGUGAAAUGCAUAGAUAUCACGCAGAACCCCGAUUGCGAAGGCAGCAUACCGGUGCACAACUGACGCUCAGGCACGAAAGCGUGGGUAUCGAACAGGAUUAGAUACCCGAGUAGUC
rnacentral:rRNA from 1 species